rnacentral:tRNA from 1 species
AUUUAAAUAGUAUAAAUAUUACAUUUAACUUCCAAUUAAAAAAUUUAUAUAAUUAUAAUUUAAAUA